UAAGGUAGUCUCUUUAUUACAUGUACAUGUGUAACUUAAUUAUGAUUAAUGAAGGUUGGUAGUUGCAGCUGUUGUAUUGAUUCUGUGGUUAGGAGACAACUGUUGUAGAGAUGGACCUAAUUUCAAUCUCCAGGAUUGCUCCAACAGUGUUGUAAGACUGUCCUGUGGCUAUGGAAGCAUGCAGGCUUAAAGGUUUAAGACUGUUGUAUAGGGGCUACAUGGGAAAUUAAUUUAAAAUGAACAUAAUGUACAUGUACAUGUAUAGUGUGACGUUAGUUAUUAACUAAAUGAAAUAAUUUUGUUUAUUUUGUUUUAUUAGAUCAUCAAAAUAUCUGAUUGGACUGUAUAGAGAAUGGAACGAAGAUAAUGAGGGUGUGGUUUCAGCAGACGAUAAUGAAUUCAUUCUCAUUCCAUCAUCAAUAGACUCACUAAUCAUUGAGAGCCCAAACUGAUAGUUUAAUUAUAUUUUAUAUUAUUAUUGUUGUUGUUGUUGUUGUUGUUGUUGUUGUUUUGUAUCUUUGUUAGUUGUUAUUUACUGGUUAUUCAUUUUAACAAGUUCUUUUCCUCCUCUA